rnacentral:rRNA from 1 species
GACCUCGGAUCAGGUAGGGAUACCCGCUGAACUUAAGCAUAUUAAUAAGCGGAGGAAAAGAAACCAACCGGGAUUGCCCUAGUAACGGCGAGUGAAGCGGCAAAAGCUCAAAUUUGAAAGCUGGCCUCGCGGUCCGCAUUGUAAUUUGCAGAGGAUGUUUCGGGUGCGAUACCUGCCUAAGUUCCCUGGAACGGGGCGUCAUAGAGGGUGAUAAUCCCGUAUGUGGCAGGCCGUCAAUCCCUUGUGAAACUCCUUCGACGAGUCGAGUUGUUUGGGAAUGCAGCUCUAAAUGGGUGGUAAAUGCCAUCUAAAGCUAAAUACCGGCCAGAGACCGAUAGCGCACAAGUAGAGUGAUCGAAAGAUGAAAAGCACUUUGAAAAGAGAGUUAAAAAGUACGUGAAAUUGUUGAAAGGGAAGCGCUUGCAGCCAGACUUAGCUGGGGUGAUCAACCGUGCUUCGGCGCGGUGCACUCGCCCCCAGCUAGGCCAGCAUCGGUUCGGGCGGCCAGAUAAAGGGCUCAGGAACGUAGCUCCCCCCGGGGAGUGUUAUAGCCUGGGUCGUAAUGUGGCCAGCCGGGACCGAGGCCCGCGCAUUGCUAGGAUGCUGGCGUAAUGGCUGCCAGCGACCCGUCUUGAAACACGGACCAAGGAGUCGACCAAUUUUGCGAGUGUUUGGGCGUUAAACCCACACGCGUAAUGAAAGUGAACGGAGGUGAGAAGCUUCGGCUGCAUCAUCGACCGAUCCUGAUGUCUUCGGAUGGAUUUGAGUAAGAGCACAGUUGGUCGGACCCGAAAGAGGAUGAUCUAUACUUAAAUAGGGUGAAGCCAGAGGAAACUCUGGUGGAGGCUCGCAGCGGUUCUGACGUGCAAAUCGAUCGUCAAAUUCGAGUAUAGGGUAAGUGAACACCUCACUCCCGGCUGGCAUCGGCUGGCGUUAGCUGGCAGGUGUUGGCUAGAAUUAGUUGGAUUCAGUUGACUAACAGGUGAA